rnacentral:snoRNA from 1 species
AGAGGUUGCGAUGAUGAUAACAAGCUCGCUCUUCUGAAAUCAAGUUGAGAUCAAACGCUGGCAAAAUCGAACCAACUAAUCACAAGCCACCACUGUGUAA